rnacentral:rRNA from 1 species
UACGUAGGGCGCAAGCGUUAUCCGGAAUUAUUGGGCGUAAAGAGCUCGUAGGCGGUUUGUCGCGUCGGCUGUGAAAACCUGAGGCUCAACCUCAGGCCUGCAGUCGAUACGGGCGGACUUGAGUACUGCAGGGGAGACUGGAAUUCCUGGUGUAGCGGUGAAAUGCGCAGAUAUCAGGAGGAACACCGGUGGCGAAGGCGGGUCUCUGGGCAGUAACUGACGCUGAGGAGCGAAAGCGUGGGGAGCGAACAGG